GUCACGGUAGCUCAGCCGGUAGAGCGCCUGGUUGAAGCCCAGGAGGUGAGGCCGGACAUCAAGCUCACGGCCGCGGAGCGGACGCGGGACGGCCGAACGGUUCAAUUCCAGUCCGUGACACCA
rnacentral:tRNA from 1 species